GGAUUCAUGCAGCCAUUCCCAAUUUGUAGCUAAGACACUGAUUGCAUUGAGAAAUGAGAUUGCUAAGAAAUGAAAUAGGAUUGGAGAAGGGUUUAAUGAGGUUAUGCAGUCAACAUUUGAACCAUAUGCCUACAUGAGUCUAGUUCACAUUGUCUGCCAGUUUUUUCAUUAUGUGGAAUUUUAUACAGAAUCUAUGAUAUAAGAUUUAGUGGCAUUUAAUAGUAACAGUACUGAGAAAUUAUCAUAAAACUAAAAACAUACAACUUUUAAUUGACCUUUUUUCUAUCGUCCUGAGUAGUACAAUCCUCAUUUGACAAAAAUACUCAAUUCUAUUUAGUGAAUAGUUGUUGAUUCCUUGGAGUUGCGGACCAGGUCAUUUUAUUCUUGCAAGUCGUUACAGAACACAACUUUUCUAAUGUGUUUGGUCGGACAGCUAAAUUUUGUGGCAAAUAUGACCCUACUGCUCUGCUUUGACAAAUUUCUACCUCGGGUGAUAAUUGCUUAGUCAAUUCCUAUGUCUCCUAGCGUCAAUAUCCAUAUGGCAGAACACCUCUGAUGCAUCUGGAAUUUUGCAGGGAAAAGAGGAGGCGAGCGGAUCUCCCUAGAUUGGGAUAC
rnacentral:misc_RNA from 1 species